rnacentral:rRNA from 1 species
GAUGAACGCUGGCGGCGUGCCUAAUACAUGCAAGUCGAGCGAACAGACGAGGAGCUUGCUCCUCUGACGUUAGCGGCGGACGGGUGAGUAACACGUGGAUAACCUACCUAUAAGACUGGGAUAACUUCGGGAAACCGGAGCUAAUACCGGAUAAUAUAUUGAACCGCAUGGUUCAAUAGUGAAAGACGGUUUUGCUGUCACUUAUAGAUUGAUCCGCGCCGCAUUAGCUAGAUGGUAAGGUAACGGCUUACCAAGGCAACGAUGCGUAGCCGACCUGAGAGGGUGAUCGCCAACACCAGAAAUGAGAAACGGUCCAGAAGAAAACGGGGAACAGCAAGAGGGAAACGUACGCAAUAGGAGAAAGCCUGACGGAGCAACGAUGGGUGAAUGAUGAAGGUCUUCGGAUCGUAAAACACUGUUAUGAGGGAAGAAGAAAUGUGUAAGUAACUAUGCACGUCUAGAAGGUACCUAAUCAGAAAGCCAAGGCUAACUAAGUG